AGAGUUUGAUCCUGGCUCAGAACGAACGCUGGCGGCGUGGAUAAGACAUGCAAGUCGAGCGCGAAUUCAUCUGUAGCAAUACAGGUGAGUUUGAGCGGCGCAAGGGUGCGUAACACGUGGGUAAUUUGCCGUGAAGUUGGGGAUAACUCGCUGAAAGGCGAGCUAUACCGAAUGUGGAAUGAGAGUGGCAUCACUUUUUUUCUAAAGCUGGGGAUCGUAAGACCUGGCGCUUCAUGAUAAGCCCGCGGCCUAUCAGCUAGUUGGUGCGGUAACGGCGCACCAAGGCUAAGACGGGUAGCUGGUCUGAGAGGACGACCAGCCACACUGGAACUGAGACACGGUCCAGACACCUACGGGUGGCAGCAGUCGAGAAUUUUUCUCAAUGGGCGCAAGCCUGAAGGAGCGACGCCGCGUGUGGGAUGAAGGGUUUCGAUCCGUAAACCCCUGUCAUUUGUGAACAAUGGUCAUUAUUUAAAAGAUGGUGACUUGAUAGUAAUGAAAGAGGAAGGGACGGCUAACUCUGUGCCAGCAGCCGCGGUAAUACAGAGGUCCCGAGCGUUGUUCGGAUUCACUGGGCGUAAAGGGUGCGUAGGUGGCAUGGUAAGUUUGAUGUGAAAGCUCAGGGCUCAACCCUGAAAUGGCAUUGAAUACUACUGUGCUGGAGGUUUGGAGGGGGGACUGGAAUUCUUGGUGUAGCAGUGAAAUGCGUAGAUAUCAAGAGGAACACCAGUGGCGAAGGCGAGUCCCUGGACAACACCUGACACUGAGGCACGAAAGCUAGGGGAGCAAACAGGAUUAGAUACCCUGGUAGUCCUAGCCCUAAACGGUGCGCAUUUGCUGUAGGAGGAAUCGACCCCUUCUGUGGCGAAGCUAACGCGAUAAAUGCGCCGCCUGGGGAGUACGGUCGCAAGAUUAAAACUCAAAUGAAUUGACGG
rnacentral:rRNA from 1 species